rnacentral:rRNA from 1 species
GCGAGUGAAGCGGGAAAAGCUCAAAUUUAAAAUCUGGCGGUCUUUUUUGGCUGUCCGAGUUGUAAUUUAGAGAAGCAUUACCCGCGCUGGACCGUAUACAAGUCCUCUGGAAUGGGGCGUCAUAGAGGGUGAGAAUCCCGUCUUUGAUAUGGACUACCAGUGCUUUGUGGUGUGCUCUCGAAGAGUCGAGUUGUUUGGGAAUGCAGCUCAAAAUGGGUGGUAAAUUCCAUCUAAAGCUAAAUACAGGCGAGAGACCGAUAGCGAACAAGUACCGUGAGGGAAAGAUGAAAAGAACUUUGGAAAGAGAGUUAAACAGUACGUGAAAUUGCUGAAAGGGAAACGCUUGAAGUCAGUCGCGUUGGCUGAGAAUCAGCCUUGCUCUUUUGCUUGGUGUACUUCUCAGUCGAUGGGUCAGCAUCAGUUUUGACUGCUGGAUAAAGGUCAGGGGAAUGUGGCAUCUUUGGAUGUGUUAUAGCCCUUGUUCGUAUACAGCAGUUGGGACUGAGGAACUCAGCACGCCGCAAGGCCGGGUUUUCAACCACGUACGUGCUUAGGAUGCUGGCAUAAUGGCUUUAAUCGACCCGUCUU